CUUAGAAAGUAGAAGUAAAGAAGGUGACUUGUAAGAACGAGAGAGAAAUAUACACUCCUUAACCCUAAAGGGCCGCCAAUUAAUACUGGGGGCGAGGGGGCUAAACCUAAGCGAUCAAACCUGAGAUGAGGGUCUCUCUAGAGGAGGACACAGAACAGGAGCGGGUGGGAGUGGAAUGCUGAUCGGUUCCGGAGGGGGCAGGGGAGAGGGAAAGCGCAAGUCCUGUUUUAUCAAGUUUAGGUCUGGAGUAGUGUGACACUGAGGAGUUCCAGGUUCAGAGGCGAGGAACGGGUGCUGCAGGGACCAGGUGCACUCGGGUUUGGGGCAGCGCUGGGCCGGUCCUGUUUGGUACUACUGGAUCAGACACGCCGGGGCGCAGAAGGCCUACAGUAAUGUUAAAGAGGGGAUCCUGUUGACUUCACAGUGGAGCAACCUGGCAUACACCACCCCAGCAAGAGACCAAGGUUGACCUUACUGCAGUAGGACAAACAGUCUCCCGAGACAAUGCACAGAGAAAAGUGCAACAUGAAUUCUGUGAUAUUCCUGCCAAAAAUGCAAAACCAGAAUCUGAUCAAGAUGUAAGAUAAACUCGAAGACAUUUGACAAAACGACCGACCCAUACUUUUCCACAAAACAUCUGUGUCUGGAAGACAAAGAAGCAUGUGACCUGGGACUCUCUUUGCUGACAUCACGGAGACCAUUGGUGAGAUCUGAAUAAGGUGAAAAUCAGGACCAUUCAUAAACGGGAAGCCCACAGAAGAACAGGAAGGUCACGAGGAGUGUGCCCUGAGUCUUUUUCCUCCAGUUGCACGCUGUUAAGGGGGCCUUAAUUAAGCUUUCCCCUCCGGGCACAACCAGCCUGUUUGUGAUAGGUCUCUUUUUGGAGCUGAUAGCGCAAUAAAUGCGGAAUCUGGUGCAAAUUCCAAUGGAAAGAAAAGACAUUGUUAUUUAAAGGCCAAAUAACGGCUUAAAAUUAGAGUUGCGAAGGAUUGAGAAACAGCCGACUGCCCAGAUGGCGCGCAGAUAAUUCACUUUGCACUCAGUCCGUUCACUCGCUAAAAAAAAUACUUUUGACUCUGUUUCUCCUCAGAUUGAAAGUUGCUGCCUGCUUUAAACAUAUGUGCUUCUCUCUUUAAAUUUAGCUCUGAGUCAUGUUGUAUUACAUUAGGAAUUCAGCAGGCAGGCACUUGGAAAAUGUACAUC